GACUCUCAACUAAAUUCCUACCGGACCGACUGCUCCGUUUGGCUGGACAUUGAGUUGAUUGAUAUGCUUGUCUAUAUUUUCUUGCAGUGAACUGGUACACAGAGUAGAGUACAGUAAACAACUAAAUAUUAUUAUUUUAAUAUUUAGUGAUCAAUGUUACCCCAUAAAAUCACCCAUCGUCAUCUUGUUAUUGAAUCUUAAUGUUAUCUGUUUUCUGUCUAGUCUACAACUUUGAGAAGUGUUCCGUCCGGAUUUAUUGUGUCGGUUCAAGUGACUGGUGACAGAAGUUGGGCAAGAACCAAAGGCUGAAACGAAAGGUGAAAGGUGGACCAGGAACAAGAGGACGGUUCGAUUAGUGUCGCAAGACGUUCGGGGUUAUCAGAAGAUAGACGACAGAACCCAAUGUGAAGAUCGAGGAGAGAAACGUUGGCCAAAGCGGAGUACGAAUUAAAGAUUUGGACAACUUCAGAUCGACUGGUCGUGCCAUUCAAUUGUUGAUUAUGUCUGUCUGGACCAGUUAAUUCAAAGCAUCAUCGUAAACCUCCAUUCAAUACUUCCAAGAUUAUCAGAACAACAAUAUGUAUAACUUCGAAGACAGAAACUAGACAUGGAGUGGACAUACCUUUAAUAUUUCAAGUUGUAUAAGGUACUGGUCAAAUCGGAAACAUUUCUCCAAAUUGGAAAAGUCAGGCCAGGCCAAUGCAAAGAUAUCAAGUGAAUAAUACCUUACAGACAAUUGUGUUGUUUAUGGUGGUGACUUUAUUUUUGGAGGUAGUUUACUAGUUAGCACAAAGUUUAUUUACGUUCUUCUUGUUCCUACUAUAUUAGUUUAUAAAUUGCUCUCUAAAUUCUAAUUAAGUAUCUCAAAUCAGUCAGGCGAAUAAAAUGUUCAACUCAAGAGUUUCAAGAUGAAAGCAAAGAAGAAAUUUACAGUAGUAUAAUUUUAGAGAUAAUUUAGCGUGGAAAUUUAAAAACUGUUUAUAAGUCCGAUAUUCUCUUGUUUAAUUCAUUCACUCUUCACGAAUCUAUUUGAUCGUAUCGUGUGGAGUUAGUAACUUAACCAAGCUUGGUUACUCCAACAUUUAGUAGCAAUGUAGUAUUAGUCCGAUCUUUUUGUAAUACAAUAUUAUUCGUGUA